rnacentral:tRNA from 1 species
CCCGUUGUAGCUCAAUGGCAGAGCGGCCGGCUGUAGACCGGCAGGCUGGGAGUUCGACUCUCCCCAACGGGA